UUUUUUUUUUUUUUUUUUUUUUUUUUUGGGUGGAAAAUCCUUUGCUGUGUGCCAGGAGCAUGGGGAGGAAGAUGGGGACACCCUGCAGUGUGGAACCUCCGUGGGACUCAGGGAGCUGGAGGAAGCAAGCAGCCAAUUCUUUCAUCUGAGCUCUAUCAGGGAACGCUUAAUUAGAGGAUUCAUUAAUUAGCUUUGUUUACUUGUUGGAUCAGGCCUCCAAACUAGACCACAACAUCUGAUUGCAGAUCCCAGGGCUGGUUCUUAUCUCACACAAUCAAUUAAAUUGCUGUUCUGCUUUUGGUUCCAGCAUUUAAACAUCAGCUGAGAGAGGUUUUGGUCAGAUUCUGGAGUGGUUUGGGUGCAAGGAACCUUAAAAACCAAUUUUAUUCCAUGUCCUGCCAUGGGCCAGGCCCUGAGCUGCUCCAGCCUGGCCUUGGGCACUUCCAGGGAUGGGGCAGCUUCUCCAGACAAAUAAAACUCCUGAAAAAAAAACCCCUCCCAGCCCAUUUGGAAGGAGACAAUUUAUUAAUUUGCAGCCUCGUUGCUUUAAUUGCUUUUCUGCCCGUGUGAGGAGCAAGGGUUGGACCCAAGGCCACAGCAGGAGCUGGUUUUAAGCCUGCUCUGACUUUAGCCCCCACUUAAGGCCGCUGGCUGAUCUCAGUUGAGCUGAGCUUUGUUGUGCCCUAAAAAGCUGUUCUGGGAACCAGCUCCAUCCCUGCUGCAAAGGUAUAAAUGGUCUUUAACAACAAUUCUCUUUUUGUGGUGGUGGUUGAGGGCUGGGCGCUGAAGGAACAUGUGCUUGAGCAAGUGCAGCUGGUUCAACAGGAGAAAUUUAAUAUCCCUCACGUUUUGGGACUUGGAUGCUCAUAGCAGCAGCAAUAUCCAGACUGAAGCAGUGGAAUAUUUCCCUAUUUUCCCGUUUUUGCUGUGCCAGCUUAAGUAAAUCCUGUUGGUGACAGGUUGAAGAGAGAAAACUGCAUUUACAACAUAGCACAUGAAGGCUCAUAAUACAGCCAUGCACUCCAUUUCCUUCCCAAAAAUUUCCAGUAUGAAUGAAAAUAAAGAUAAAACAUAGGUCCAAAAGAGCGUUUAUUUGUGGGCUGCAUGGACAAUUAAAAAGCAGAGAGAUUUUAGAGCUGUGGUUUUAUCUGCAGGGAGGUGAAGCAGUGAAUUCCAGGAUGUUCUUUGGUCACAGAAAGGGGAUGAGCAGCUCAGGAAUACUUUCCCCAUAAUUCAGUUAUUUCAAUCUUUGAGAUAUUUUUUCCCCUUGCUGCAGAGGCAGCAAUAAAAUCCACGUAGGGUGUUCACAAAGGCGCCCUGGAGUGAGUGAAUAAUACCCCCACACGCACAAGUGAAAAACAAUUAUUGGGAAGAUGUAAAAAUCUCUUUAUUCCCCAGUCUGGCACGAGCUGCUGCCCAUAAAACACAGAUUGCAGGGAGAAAUAAAGCUGGGAGAGCUCUGCUGCAGUGAGGAGCCUCAAGGCAGCUGAAUGUGCUCAGCUCUGCAGUCUGUGAAUAAAAAUCCCUGAAUUCUGCAGCUCACCUCCAGCCCAGCCCUCCUGCAGGCUGCUCGCUCCUGGUGCUGUCCUUAGGGAUGGGAUUUCUGUGGGAUGGAAGAGGAAUCACCUCCAUCACUCUGGUUUAUUUUAAUAUCAUCACUUAAUUGAAAGGUUUGCAGAGGUCUGCAAAUACUCCUCUCCAUUUCAGCUGUUUCAUCCCUGGCACUUCUCCUCCUGGAGAGAAAAGGACUUUGCACCACUCUGAGGCAGAGAUUGAAUUAUAAAUUACCCAGCCUGGAUGAGAGGUUCUCCCAGCAGAGGUUACUGGGAGAAUCAGGGUUUUUAUUGGCACUACUGAUAAGUGGGGAUAAGGAGUUGCUGGUCUUAAUUUUUACAAUUUUUUUGAGGGGAAGUAUUUUUGUAUAUUUUUCUCUGUGCAUUUUUUUUGACAAAUACUUCACUUCCAUUUAAACUGCAGUUGGGUUUUCCUUUUUUUUCCCCGCUUUAAUAUCUCUAUCUCUUAGUCCUUUCUAUAACCCUCAAUAAAACCUUAAAUGGUAAAAACUUGAGUAUUAAAACUUCUGUUUCAGACAUUUUAUUUGGAUCCUUUAAUCGCAUUCACAUGAAUAAAUCUUUACCAAUUCUUUUCAAA